CUUUUCAGUUAAAUAGGUCUUCAUGGUAAUUUUUUAUGGCAGCACUAGGAAAAUUAACAUACUGCAAAUAUGAUAUAACAAAAUACCCAAAAAUGUGAAUGUAGUUUGGGGAUUAGGUAAUGUUUAGUGGCUGAUAGUAUUCUGAAGUGUUCAGUUGCCUUGAAGUAAUAGUUGACAGGAAUAGUAUUAGAGGCAAUCUGCAGAAGCCUUGGAAGGAAAUGAUGAGCAUGUUGGACAGUGGAGAAGAGGCAAUCUUUGUUAUAAAGUUGCAGAGAACUUCAGGGCUGAAUUGUGCUCUAUCAUUGGGUGUAAGUAGAGCUUGUAAGGAAUGAACUUGGAUGUUUACCUGAGAUUUCCAAGCUAAAUGUAGAUACAACCUGAAUUCUCCUUGCUGCUUAUACUAAGAUAUGAAAAGAGAAAUAGAGGAAUGAAUUGCUUAGCAAAAAGGGAACCAGCACAAAAGCAAAACAAAUAACCACUCAAUACUUUGGAAUGGUUUUAGUCUAUCCAUAUAGAUACUUAUGGACCCAACCUGCCAUCUCCGCAGUUCCCAGUAUAAGAUGCAGUAAUCAAGGAAAGAUCAGUGGAGAAUCCUCUGGUUUGAUGACUGGGAUCCCAUGAGUUACACAGGAGAGACUGAAAAGAAUUUUUGAGAAUUUUGUUGUAGCAGAAAAGGACAAAAAUGGGGUGAAAUGAAAGAACAGUGAUUGACAGUAGAACCAUAAAUGCAGAGGCCAAGCUGUAGGAGACUUCCUAGGAUCAGAAGGCAGGCUGUUGCCUCAGUGGGUCAGAGUACAAAGUACUUAUGCACAGAGGGUUAUUAUUGUUAGACCUUAAAAUAAAAUAGUUUGCUUUGCUAUUACUCACACUAACAUCUAUGUAUUAGAGUGUUUUCACAACUUUACCAGUAUAUUGUGUUAAGUAUUUUGAUCAUUAUGAACAUGAUGGUUGAAAAGAAGCAAAAAAUUGGGUAUUGCCUUAUCGUUUUAUUUGUUUCUUGCUUAUUGUAAGUAGAUAGAGCUUUUUUUUGUCUCCAUAUUUUUAUACCGAGGUGCCAUUUUUCUAUUGGGCUGUUAGAUUUUGCUUCUAGCUGAAAUGUAUCAUCCUGUGACCUCAAUAUGUACUGCCUUUAUCUAGGUCUAGGCACUCCCAAAUAUGAAAGUCAAUUUCUAAUGUUGACUUUUUAUUACUUGUUGUUCAGGAGAGUAUCACUUCAUUUACCCUUAAAAUGUGAUGAAAUGUAGACUAACAACAGAUUGUGUGUGUACCUGUGUGCAGUAUCUCACAGGACAUCUGAAACAAAACAACACUGGAGCUGGACUUUGCUAUGGGGUUGCUCUAUGGAUCAAUUCAAAUUCAUAGUGCAGUUCUAAGUAAAACUCUUUGAUUAGAGUCAAGGAAAGGCAAGGCAUUGUUUUUAAGAAAUUCCUUGCAACAUUGGUUGUUAAAACAUCUAGAACUGUGGUUCUUUCUUUUGGUUGCCUCUUAAUUUAAUCUCUCUUUUAACUUAGAGCUAAUGGCUAGAACUCCAUGAAUCAAAUUACUUCAGAGUAUUUUACAUACUUCAUAGCAUAUAAAAUUACUGCUUUGCAACAUGUUAAUGAUGUCAAGGAUAGGUUUUAUCUAGUAUCCUCAUCUUGUUUCUAAUAUUUCAGUAAUAACCUGGGUGUUUUGUUUUUUUCCUUUAGAAAACACUUAAUUUCUCC
rnacentral:lncRNA from 1 species